GGGACACAGCAUGGCGGGGGUUCCUUGCUCCCUUCGCCAGGGCGGUUGACUCGCACCCUGCUGCAGGACGGAGAAGGCAGCCGCUUGGAAACCCCGGGCUUCAGUCCUCAGCCGGGUCUCUGGAUGUAGACCCCCGGAGUCUGUCUUCUGAGACCGACAAGGCUUGUCAAUGGGCAACACAGGCUCCGGGACUUCCGGAAACAGUUUCUCAAGAAACAUUUCUGAAACUGCUUGGUUAAGGAUGACUCCCGCAAGGGCGGCUGUCACCUGCCUGCUGGGCCCGCACCGGGAGACUUGUCUACACAUAAACUGUGCAGGUUAAAGACAGGCCAGGCCAAAGAAAUAAGCUUGCAGAGGAGAGAGGGUUUUCACCUAUUUCCUUCCCUACCCCAAUCUCUCGAAGUUUUCUCAGAGCCUGGAGGGCCCAGCAUGAGCAACUUCCUGGGCUGGGGCUUGGCCAGGGAGGCAGGUGCCUGCCAGGGCAGGCAGGGACCACUCCCUGUCAUCGUAACAAAAGAUGACACAGAAGCAGAUGGGAGAAAAGUCUGGGGAGAAACAACAUGGGCAGAAAACCACAGAAAUGCAGAUGACCUAGGCAAGUUUGAAAAAUUGGCCUCUUACGAGCCUCUGUCAAGAGAGAACAGGAUGAAGAGUUCAAAGUCGCAAAGUGUGGUCUUGCCUUACCUCAGAAGUCAUGGGACGGUAGAAACAAUAAAGUAAGUUAAUCCAAGGGGAAAAUGGACUCUUGGGAAGAAGGCCGGGCCCCAGGGUCUCAGCCAGCUCCUCCCGUGGAUCUUGGGGACUGAAUUCCUCAUCCUUUGUAGCACACGAACAAUAACCCGACUGCUUUUCCCACCAGCCCAGGUCUCCGCACGCUGCACCCUUUCUCUCCCCACCAGCAAGGUGAACUGUUUUCUAUAAGCCAGAAAA
rnacentral:lncRNA from 1 species